AGGAGACUGGAGCCCCUCAGUGAAGAUGGGAGUUCAGAUGUAGAUGAUCAGAGUCCAGGAAAAAGCUUGGUGAAGAGGCCCUCACAGAAGAAGAAAAGACGUAAAAAGUCCACGACAGUGGAAGCAAUGGAUGGAGUUUCUGACCUCUCGUCCUGCAGUGACGAGGGGAGUUUAAAUAUAGAUGGUGAGUUAAAUAACGUUUAUUAUGAAAUUCACAAAAACUCCUGCCUUUUUACAAAGGACCCUGCUAGCUUUUUCUCAAAGUUAGUAGAGUACUA